rnacentral:rRNA from 1 species
AUUGAACGCUGGCGGCAGGCCUAACACAUGCAAGUCGAGCGGAUGAAGGGAGCUUGCUCCUGGAUUCAGCGGCGGACGGGUGAGUAAUGCCUAGGAAUCUGCCUGGUAGUGGGGGAUAACGUCCGGAAACGGGCGCUAAUACCGCAUACGUCCUGAGGGAGAAAGUGGGGGAUCUUUGGACCUCACGCUAUCAGAUGAGCCUAGGUCGGAUUAGCUAGUUGGUGGGGUAAAGGCCUACCAAGGCGACGAUCCGUAACUGGUCUGAGAGGAUGAUCAGUCACACUGGAACUGAGACGCGGUCCAGACUCCUACGGGAGGCAGCAGUGGGGAAUAUUGGACAAUGGGCGAAAGCCUGAUCCAGCCAUGCCGCGUGUGUGAAGAAGGUCUUCGGAUUGUAAAGCACUUUAAGUUGGGAGGAAGGGCAGUAAGUUAAUACCUUGCUGUUUUGACGUUACCAACAGAAUAAGCACCGGCUAACUUCGUG